AGGCACAGUGGGAUAGGUGAGUUACUAGAGAUUCUAGGGAGUAUUAUAAAUGGUUUUGCAUUACCCAUGAAAGAGGAACACAAGUUAUUCCUUGUUCGGGCACUCAUACCACUGCACAAGCCGAAAUCAGUUGCAAUGUAUCAUCAGCAGUUAUCCUACUGUAUUGUUCAGUUUGUUGAAAAGGAUUAUAAGUUGUCUGAUACGGUUAUAAGGGGUUUGUUGAAAUACUGGCCUGUCACUAAUUGCCAA
rnacentral:misc_RNA from 1 species